AACAGAGGAGAGUUGUUGUUUGUAUUCCAGCUGUAGUAAACAAAGAAGUUUAGUGAAUCUUUUUGACAACAGAGAGUGAUGCAGUAUUGAUGCUGAUUUGAGUUUUCUGAUCCUGUAUUUUUGUUCUUUGUCUUUUGUUACACAGAGUGAAAUAAAGCUUGGUUUUGCCUUUGCUGAGUGAAACAGAACUUUGGUUUUGCGUUUGCUGGAUACUGAUCUGAUCGUCGCAAGUCUGGUGACCUGCUGCAGAAGAUCCUCUCUCUCUCUCUAUCAUUAUAAGCAAUUCUGUCUAUCCUAUCACUCUCCCAACUCUAUCUAAUUUGAAAGCCAUUCUAUCUUGUAUCCCUCUAUCCCUACUGCUCUAUCUAAUUUGAAAGCCAUUCUAUCUUGUAUCCCUCUAUCCCUACCGCUCUAUCUAAUUUGAAAGCCAUUCUAUCUUGUAUCCCUCUAUCCCUACCGCUCUAUCUAAUUUGAAAGCCAUUCUAUCUUGUAUCCCUCUAUCCCUACCGCUCUAUCUAAUUUGAAA